AGUCGAACGGCAGCAUGAUCUAGCUUGCUAGAUUGAUGGCGAGUGGCGAACGGGUGAGUAAUACAUCGGAACGUGCCCUGUAGUGGGGGAUAACUAGUCGAAAGAUUAGCUAAUACCGCAUACGACCUGAGGGUGAAAGUGGGGGACCGCAAGGCCUCAUGCUAUAGGAGCGGCCGAUGUCUGAUUAGCUAGUUGGUGAGGUAAAGGCUCACCAAGGCGACGAUCAGUAGCUGGUCUGAGAGGACGAUCAGCCACACUGGGACUGAGACACGGCCCAGACUCCUACGGUAGGCAGCAGUGGGGAAUUUUGAACAAUGGGCGAAAGCCUGAUCCAGCAAUGCCGCGUGUGUGAAGAAGGCCUUCGGGUUGUAAAGCACUUUUGUCCGGAAAGAAAUGGCUCUGGUUAAUACCUGGGGUCGAUGACGGUACCGGAAGAAUAAGGACCGGCUAACUACGUGCCAGCAGCCGCGGUAAUACGUAGGGUCCAAGCGUUAAUCGGAAUUACUGGGCGUAAAGCGUGCGCAGGCGGUUGUGCAAGACCGAUGUGAAAUCCCCGAGCUUAACUUGGGAAUUGCAUUGGUGACUGCACGGCUAGAGUGUGUCAGAGGGGGGUAGAAUUCCACGUGUAGCAGUGAAAUGCGUAGAGAUGUGGAGGAAUACCGAUGGCGAAGGCAGCCCCCUGGGAUAACACUGACGCUCAUGCACGAAAGCGUG
rnacentral:rRNA from 1 species